UACGUAGGGGCCAAGCGUUGUCCGGAUUUAUUGGGCGUAAAGAGCUCGUAGGCGGUUCGGCAAGUCAGCUGUGAAAUCUCCACGCUCAACGUGGAGGGGUCAGCUGAUACUGCUGUGACUUGAGUCCGGUAGGGGAGUGUGGAAUUCCCGGUGUAGCGGUGAAAUGCGCAGAUAUCGGGAGGAACACCAGUAGCGAAGGCGGCACUCUGGGCCGGUACUGACGCUGAUGCGCGAAAGCUAGGGGAGCAAACAGG
rnacentral:rRNA from 1 species